UAUACAUGACGUGGGCCACGCAGCUGGUGAUAACUAGGUACGAAGUACGUACCUAGUACCUACCUACCAUCGUAUAUUUAAAAACCGCGAACGGUCCUUAUCAGUAAAGAAAUUGUACUAUCGAUAGGAAGACGUUAUCCAUACAUUUAUACGAGUACCUUCAUACUAGUUAGCCAAAUACAUAAGUCAUGAAACUUAUAGUGAUCGUCCUUCUGAUAUUUGGCGUGGUUUGCCAAGCGAGACAUCUUUACCCCGGUAACUUUGACCCGGAUGAAACUUUAUUCGGAAAAAUUAAUAAUGAGAAGCCAGAAAUGUCAAUGGGUAUUUUCCACAAUCGGAAACAGUUUGGAUUGGCCCCCCCGAACGUCGAAAAGUUCUUUCAAUCUCUUGAACCUUGUGAGGAUGGAUUCCAAAGGGACAUAUUGGGAAUAUGCAGGGAAGUUUGGGAUUAAGUGCUACUUACUUCGGGGUAAAAUAUAUGAACAAAAAGGAUCUUCGUUAUCGGUUGUAGUAGAAAAAUAAUAAUCAAUAUCAAAAAUAUACCUACCUAACUGAGAUGUACUUCAGCAUACCUCCUACAAAUAAGAAUAAAUAGCUCAAUUUUAAGUAGCUGGACCAUAGGUAUGUGUUUUGACAAUAUAUUUUAACCACCUGCUUUUCAAAAAAAAAAUACUAAACUAUAAUACUGCAAUAUGUUAUUUCUGUAAUAUAUUAUAGGCACUGUAAUAGGUAUGUGAUAUGUAUUAUGUUAUUUCUUACAUGAUAAGUAAAUUAAGUAAGGAAAUGUAAAGUGGUUCAUUUUUAGUUAAGUUUAAGUCUUGAUUAUUAUGUUAUGAGCUAAUAUUGUGAUAUUUAUUAAUUAGUUAGGAGUAAGGACGACGUAUAAUCCCAACCAAGAUCUACGGAUUUAUUUUUGUUUGUUUACUUUGUGAUAGGAAGGUAGCUAUCUACAUUACAAUUCACUAUUAAUUUGUUUUAUUAAAGUUUUAUAAAUUUCAUGAAAUAAAUAUUUAUUUAUUUGA